rnacentral:misc_RNA from 1 species
UUCAACGUUUGCAUCGUCUUUGCUGGUAUACAAAUAUACAAUAGUAAAUUUCCAAUGCAAUGUUCACCGUUUCGACCACGCUAUCUUCGUCCUAUGCCUCACCCUCCAAAAACGUGGACUUCUUGUUGAUUUAUAUUUGAAUGUCUUAGGCCACAGAGUUCGAAAUCAGACAUGAUGCACAAGAAUUCAUAACCCACCUCGCACGUAGUCUCUUAUUAAUUAACUAUAUGAUAUAUGGUGGUGCAUUGAUUGACCAAAGCAAUUAAGAAGAGACU